UGCAAACACUGGAUCACAGAUUUCUAAAACAAUACGAUUAUUCCUGAGUCUCAGCAACUUGAAGAUAUGAGAAGAACUCAGUGAGGAGAAGAAAAAAAGGGAGCUCAGGAAAUAAGAGCCGGUAGCUGACCUAGAGAACUCGGCUAUUAUGGGAGCCGUGGGACUUACCUUUCCUCAGCAACAGAAGUACUCUUCUAAGUUCAUGUACAUGGACCAAAAGCUACCUGGAAGGAGCAAAAGCUGACAGGAAUUUCAUGUAACAGACAAAAUACAUUUCUGUUGCCCUAAAG